rnacentral:rRNA from 1 species
AGUGAACGCUGGCGGUAGGCCUAACACAUGCAAGUCGAACGGCAGCACAGUAAGAGCUUGCUCUUACGGGUGGCGAGUGGCGGACGGGUGAGGAAUACAUCGGAAUCUACUUUUUCGUGGGGGAUAACGUAGGGAAACUUACGCUAAUACCGCAUACGACCUACGGGUGAAAGCAGGGGAUCUUCGGACCUUGCGCGAUUGAAUGAGCCGAUGUCGGAUUUGCUAGUUGGCGGGGUAAAGGCCCACCAAGGCGACGAUCCGUAGCUGGUCUGAGAGGAUGAUCAGCCACACUGGAACUGCGGCACGGUCCAGACUCCUACGGGAGGCAGCCGUGGGGAAUAUUGGACAAUGGGCGCAAGCCUGAUCCAGCCAUCCCGCGUGGGUGAAGAAGGCCUUCGGGUUGUAAAGCCCUUUUGUUGGGAAAGAAAAGCAGCAGGUUAAUACCCCGCUGUUCUGACGGUACCCAAAGAAUAAGCACCGGCUAACUUCGUG